rnacentral:rRNA from 1 species
AUUGAACGCUGGCGGCAGGCCUAACACAUGCAAGUCGAACGGUAACAGGAAGAAGCUUGCUUCUUUGCUGACGAGUGGCGGACGGGUGAGAAAUGUCGGGGAAACUGCUUGAUGGAGGGGGAUAACUACUGGAAACGGUAGCUAAUACCGCAUAACGUCGCAAGACCAAAGAGGGGGACCUUAGGGCCUCUUGCCAUCGGAUGUGCCCAGAUGGGAUUAGCUAGUAGGUGGGGUAACGGCUCACCUAGGCGACGAUCCCUAGCUGGUCUGAGAGGAUGACCAGCCACACUGGAACUGAGACACGGUCCAGACUCCUACGGGAGGCAGCAGUGGGGAAUAUUGCACAAUGGGCGCAAGCCUGAUGCAGCCAUGCCGCGUGUAUGAAGAAGGCCUUCGGGUUGUAAAGUACUUUCAGCGGGGAGGAAGGGAGUAAAGUUAAUACCUUUACUCAUUGACGUUACCCGCAGAAGAAGCACCGGCUAACUCCGUG